rnacentral:lncRNA from 1 species
GGCUUUUUUCCUUCUUGAUGCCCUUUGCUUUGUUUGUACUUCAAAGUUAAUUUUAUUUAGAUUGACGGGUGUUUUCCACCCCCCCUUUUUUUUUUGUAAUUUAAAAAAUUUAUUUUUAAAUGUUUGUAUGUGAAUUCCAUGUAGAAAUCGUAUGAAUUCGGGUGUGAAUCUUCCUGUGAGUGCAGUUCUGGUUUUGGCUUUGAUUGGGUUUUGAUGGCGGAGCUGGUGUGAGAUCUUUUGACUUUUGUCAGAUGUUAACUUUACUACUAACUUGGAAAUGCAGAACCUCCUCUGGAUUUUGAUCAGGCUCAUUCUGGAUCAUGUUGUUGUAUGAAAAUUUUCUGCAAUUUUUUUGGUCCUCGUUAUUCUCUCUUCGGUUUCUGGUGAAACUGAGGAAAAUAAAAAGAGAAUAAUUUUGUCGGUCUUACGUUACUAGAGAAGCAAAAUGGUGGAAUUAUUUCAUCCUGGCAAUUGUGGAAACCCUAAUUGUGUUGUGUUUCUUUUCUCUUUCCUCUCUCUCUCUUUCGUCCCCUGAAAUUGGAAAAACCAAUUUCUUCUCCAUUGUUCUGCUUUCUUAUCAAUCAAACAGAGGAAAUACAAGAAUGGAUCUUGUGUUUAUUCUUUCUUAUUAAAGUCAUAGCUGGAGGGUCAGAGAUGAAGUAUCCGUGUAAUGGCAGUAGCUUCAUCUCAUGGUCUACGGCAUACGAUUUCAGUGGAUCCCUUUUUACUAGUGAUGAUUUUGGGGGUUCCACUCAAUGACAGAAACUUUAGAUGCUAGGUAUCUCUCAAAACCAAAAGUUUGAUUAGGAUUUGGCCCUACAUAGUCUACCCUGGGUGGAUUUGUGAUACUUGAUUGAUGAUGAGACUCAUAUUUACCAUGGGCUUGCAAAUUUCAAGGAGGUUUAAGGUCUUAAUUUGAAGAUCUAGUAUACAUGUGUCCUGUUUUGAGUUUUUUAUUUUGUUUUUUUACAUUUGUUUCUGGAGUGAAAUUAUUGAAGCUGUGGUUGACUAAGUAACUCGUGGUUUUUUCGGCAAUGUGAAUUACUGAAUUUAAAUGUAACUCUUGGUUGUGAAGUGUUGCAGUAAUGGUUCAACUGACGAUUUUUUGAGCAGCAGCAUUUUUUUUUUAAAGUUGUGGUUUUGCCUUUUGCAGUCCUUUGCAUUUCUAGGUUGUGAGACCAAGAAACAUGGCACCCCUGAACUGGUGUUUGUUUCUUUCAGUACUUACUCUUUUGGACUAGGAUUAGCUCCUUACCACCAUUUGUUUAUAUGGUUGUGUGUUCUAUAACAAGGUAAUGCUAUUGUGGGGAUCUGCAAUGCAAUUAUUGGGGGCAACCAAACUAGGUUCUGAGUAGUUAACAUGAGAUCCCCAACAGAGGCCACUUGGGUUUGCACUAAUGGAUUGCACUUUGCAGUUAGGGUUUGGGGCAACCAUGAGUCCAAGUAAAUGUUCUGAGCCCUGGCCUCCAAUUUGAGCUCGUUUGGGUGAAGCCAAAUCAAGCCCAAUCCAUGCUAACUCUGUUUGAUCUCAAUUGGGCACAAUUAAUUGUCAUGAUGCAGUGUUAAUCAAUUUAGGGUCGGUUGAAUUAGAAAAAAAGUAGAAAUGACCUAUGCUUGUGGUGUGUAAAAAAUAAAGGGAAGAAAAACAUGAAUUACUUAGUAGUCUACUAUGAAUGGACAAUUGGCUUUUGAGACUGGUAUACAGCUUAUAGCACACCCCAGGCCCCUGCUGUGGUUCUAAUGACUUGUCUACACACAAUCCUUGAAAGUGGGCCAACUUUUCUAAACCAUGAAAUCUGCUUUCUGACAAGAUAUAUGGUGAUCUUUGCAUGUCAUCUUGUUUUAUGACUUGCUCUACAGACAUAACUAGAUGGAAUGAAAUGACGUGUGCAUGUUGCUAAUUAUCUGGUUGUUCCAUGCUUCUUCACUUUCUCCUUUUUAACAUUUCCUGGUAUACAAGUUUGUCUCAUCGUUUGUUUGCUGCAUUCACAUGAAAGAUUAAAUUACUGCUUCCUUGAGCUGUCAGUGAGUUCAAAACAAAUUAUUUAUGUGUUCUUGUAUUGUGCUUACUGUUAUAGGUUGAUCAAGUUUCCAAAUUGUGAUUCCAAUAGCCAUGC